UACUGGGUCCACUUGGAAGCCGGACCGGGUCCAGGGCCGGAAAGGGUUCAACUUGGAAACCCGACCGGGUGCAGGCAGGAAUGGGUCCGAUUUGGAAACCGGACCAGUUCCGCGUCAGACACCGUCAGACUUCAGCUGGACUGGGCCGGUGUGAGGGCUCAGGUGAAUACAAUUUUGUUUUAAGGCUGAACAAGCAGGUUAAUCUUACCAAAAAUAAUCUUGAAUUACAGUGGCUACGGUGGAGAACUUUUAACGUUAGAUAAACCUCUCCAUUUACGAAGUGCCCUAGAGAGAAAAGGAUCUCGGCCAAGUACUCACUGUGAGGGGUAGAGGGAAAAUUAUUUUUCCUCCUCUGCCGGUUCUGGUGACAAGGAUGUGACCCACGGAAACACACAACUCCCUCCAGAGCCCACAGAAUCCCGGGAAACGGCGGAAGCCAGCAAAAGAUGCAUUCAUGUAUAUCACCAGAGGAAGUAAUAUUCUCAGCAUGGCAAUGCACGACAGAAUCUGGAAAUGGAAGAAGAAGAAGCCAUAGAAGAAGUUGGAAAACCUUUAAGUAAAUGGCAAUGUUCCAGAGGAGAGGCUGAAUCACUAAGGACAACAAUAACGUGGGAACAGUGACCACAUUGAAGUCUCAGUGGAGAGCAGUAAACCUUUAAGUGAGUGAUAUUUGAGGGUUGUUUGUCACUGCAGCGUAACCUAGCCUGUCCCAACUAAAACAUACCAUAAAAUAUUCCCGGGUUCACUAAGUUGAAGAUCAUGGUCUUCCAAUUUUAGAUACAUCUUUUAAAAGCCUCCUUUUCAUUGAAUGUCUUCAAAGUAAUUUUAUACAUCUCAAAAGCAGUCAAGGGAAAUGAAAGUUAAGUCUAAACCUAAUGAAAUCCUGGCAGCGUGAGAAGAGAACUCAAAUCCCCAGCUGUCCUCUAGCUUCUGUUGUAUGAAUAUUUUCAUAGGAAAAAAAGGUUUUGCAGACAAAAGUAAGUACAUUCUUCCCUUCAUUUCUUCACUAGGGCAAAAGUAUAUUCAUGACCCUCCAAAUGCUGGAAAAUAGUUUAUUUUUAGUUAACCAGUAGUAACCUAAAGAAUAAUAUUUGUUUCUGAAAACAGAAAAGGUAAACACCCAGAGAUUUGCAGCUCCACCUUAAUGAGACCCUGCCACAAACAACUCAGGGCUCCAAAGCAUUCCAAUAUCACAGUAUCUUAUUAACAUAUAACAACUUUUCUUUUAAUCCCAGUGAUAUUAUUACUGUAAUCAUUUCCCUUGUCAUUAAUUGAAAUAUUUUUAUCCUGUGGCAGUUUUUCUCUUGGGCCUGUUUUACUUUAAAAUUUGUCACAUUGUAAUUUCCUUCUCAAAGUUUUAAUAAAGUAAAACAAAACAUCAUCUGUCCAUUUGCUAGGUAUGCAUUAGAACUUGAGAUUGAUAAAUGGCAAAUGUCUCUUUUUCUCCAGAAACAAAAGAUUACUUUCAAAAGCCUUUUUGAAGUCAUAUGACUUAACUCCACAGCAUUUGGACUUCAUUUACUUUAGUGAGUUGAGAAUAACAACACUUUAAUUAAUCAAGGUCUCCCUAGAGAUAGAGCCAAGAGUGGGUAAGUAUUACCUUCAGCAUAGCAUUACUUUCUACCUGUUGCUUAGGAUAGAGAUUCUCUUAGAAAUGCACAGAGAAGGUUAAGGACUGGAGACUCCUUAAUGACACUGACUAGAGCAAGCUAUUUGGUAAUAGUAGAAAUAAAAUUGAGGUAUGUGUUACUCUGUAUGUCUCCUGCAUACCAGUUAACCUAGGAUCUGUGGAGCAUAUUAAUCAAACAUUUUCACAAUAAUAAGGACUUCUCCGUUUGUGGGUCCAAAGACAACUAGAAAGAUCUUCCAUUCUUUUUUGUUUUUUUUCAUUUCCUUCCAGUUAAGAUUGCUACCAAAAGAAAAAAAAAAGCAACCACAAUUCUUAACAUUUUACUUUGUUUCACAUUUUCCAAAUAUUUAACACAUCUCCUAUGUGAUAGGCAUUGUACUAGCCCUCAAGAACCUAAUGGUGAGCAGAAUCAAUAUUGGCCCUGUCCUGGGAGAACAUACAUGUAGUGAAAAGGACAGAUAUCAAAUCAGCAAUGAUAUAAAGGAUGGCAAUAGAGGGUAUCCCAGAGUGACAAGAAUGUGAAGCAUAAGUACCUGCUUUAGUCCAAGCAUGUGAGCAGAGGGAAAUGCAAGAAGACUUCUAAUAUGUCACCACCAGAAAGGAAAUUAGUCAUGCAUAUACAUGCAAGCAUAUCUCAGGGUCUUGGAAGCUGGAGAAAGUACCUCUAGGCACCAGGUUCUGACCAGAAUCUUAAGAAAACUAACGUGAGCUUACACUGUGCAUAAAUGGAAAGUCUAGUCACAUUUUAGCUCCACAGCUCUAAAAGCAUAGGAAACAAAUCUAAGGAAUGGAGAAAAGGAAGCAGAUAACCACAGGAUCAGAAAGAACUGUGAAAGAAACCCAACAAUACACUAGGCUAGGAGUCAGGUGAGCUGGGCACUGGGUAUCAUGACUGUAAGCUUUAGUGCUGCAAUGUGCCAGUCCCUGCGAUUAGCCCUCUGGAUGAAUUACAUCAUUCACCUAUCACUAUAAAGCCAUAUGGUAGAUAUCAUAUUGCCCCAUCUUAAAUAUAAGUAAAAUGAGGCUUUCAUAUGAUAAGUAAUUUAGCUCUUUCUGCCUUCCAGUCCUGAUCUCUGAGCCACUAGGCUACUGCCCAUUAGAAUUACAUUCAUGUACAAAGAUUUUUUUUUAAUCUCGAUGUCCAGGCCUACCACAGAUCAAUUAAAUCAAAAUCUCUGAGGCAGAACUCAAACAUGAGCUUUUUUAAAGCUUUCUAAAUAACUCUAAUGUAGCUAAAAUUGGGAAUUACUAUGGUUCUGCUACUAAGCCACUAGAUGACUUUAAAAUAUACAUGUAAUUCUUCCACUCAGGACCUUCUCAAUAAAGCAAAGAACUAAGACUAGGUUAUUCCUGAGGCCUCUUCCAAGUCAAAUAUUUUUCACUUCCAGACAAAGAAAUUUCUUUUUUUUAAUUUAUUUUUUUAUGUUUAUUUUUUUGAGAAAGAGAGAGAGAGAGCUAGUGGGGG